GCCUGGGUGGCUCAGUCGGUUGAGCGUCUGACUUCAGCUCGGGUCAUGAUCUCACAGUCUGUGAGUUCGAGCCCCGCGUCGGGCU
rnacentral:tRNA from 1 species